AUUGAAUGCUGGCGGCAGGCCUAACACAUGCAAGUCGAACGGUAACAGGAAGAAGCUUGCUUCUUUGCUGACGAGUGGCGGACGGGUGAGUAAUGUCUGGGAAACUGCCUGAUGGAGGGGGAUAACUACUGGAAACGGUAGCUAAUACCGCAUAACGCCGCAAGACCAAAGAGGGGGACCUUCGGGCCUCUUGCCAUCGGAUGUGCCCAGAUGGGAUUAGCUAGUAGGUGGGGUAACGGCUCACCUAGGCGACGAUCCCUAGCUGGUCUGAGAGGAUGACCAGCCACACUGGAACUGAGACACGGUCCAGACUCCUACGGGAGGCAGCAGUGGGGAAUAUUGCACAAUGGGCGCAAGCCUGGUGCAGCCAUGCCGCGUGUAUGAAGAAGGCCUUCGGGUUGUAAAGUACUUUCAGCGGGGAGGAAGGGAGUAAAGUUAAUACCUUUGCUCAUUGACGUUACCCGCAGAAGAAGCACCGGCUAACUCCGUG
rnacentral:rRNA from 1 species